rnacentral:rRNA from 1 species
AAAGUUGGACCGGGGGGCCCGCACAAGCGGCGGAGCAUGCGGUAUUAAUUCGAUGCAACGCGAAGAACCUUACCAAGGCUUGACAUACACCGGUAACGCCCAGAGAUGGGUCGCCCCUUUGUGGUCGGUGGACAGGUGGUGCAUGGUUGUCGUCAGCUCGUGUCGUGAGAUGUUGGGUUAAGUCCCGCAACGAGCGCAACCCUCGUCCUAUGUUGCCAGCGGGUCAUGCCGGGGACUCAUGGGAGACUGCCGGGGUCAACUCGGAGGAAGGUGGGAUGACGUCAAAUCAUCAUGCCCCUUAUGUCUUGGGCUUCACGCAUGCUACAAUGGCCGGUACAAAGGGCUGCGAUACCGCGAGGUGGAGCGAAUCCCAGAAAGCCGGUCUCAGUUCGGAUUGGGGUCUGCAACUCGACCCCAUGAAGUCGGAGUCGCUAGUAAUCGCAGAUCAGCAACGCUGCGGUGAAUACGUUCCCGGGCCUU